rnacentral:lncRNA from 1 species
CGGGAUUGCGUCCUUGCUUCGCCGCCAGGUUGCGCCCUUGCUUCGCCAUCGGGGUUGUGGCCAUGCUUCUCCGCCGGGGUCUCGCACUUGGUUCGUCGUCUGGGUUGCGCGCUUGGUUCUCCGCAGGGGUCGCGCGCUUGGUUCGCCGCCGGGGUCGUUCACUUGGUUCGCCGCCGUGGUCAUUCCUUGGUUCACCGUCGGGGUCGUGCGCUUGGUUCACCGCCGGGUCGCGCACUUGCUUAGCCUCUAGGUCGCGCCUUGCUUCGCCACUGGGUCGCGUCCUUGCUUUGCCGCCGGGUCUUGCCCUUGCUUCGCCGGAGCCCUAG